UCUGAAUUACCUAUGCUAUCUAAUUUCUAAUGUGGCAGAUUAGUGCAAUGAAUUUAAGCUUCAUAUAUAAAGUUGUCACUUUUAUUAGAAG
rnacentral:tRNA from 1 species